UGUCAUUUGAGAUGUGAAUACAAUGUGUGAUGACUUCAGCAGAACGAGCAGCGUUUGUAUCUUCUCGAAUGUUAUUUGGUUGCAUUGGGAAUCCUUGUUCUCCUCAUCUGGUUCACUGGAAGUCUGUAGUUGUGAUGGCAGGCUACAGCUGCCCCACUACAACUGGGUACCACUUGUUGCUUUCAACCUGCUUUUGGCACCUGUCUUAGGGUUUACUGCUGUGAACAGACACCAUGACCAAGGUUGUACAAAGAGCGCUGAGGCUGACAGCCCUGGGAGAUCUCUGUGCUGGCUGCAGGUGGGACAUCCCUUCUCAGUUUUGAAGUUCCAGCAGUGUAUGCGGCAGGCUCAGCUAUGGUUGGUGGACAUUUCUUUUGAGACCCAGAUUGAGACUUUGAGCUCAGCCGGACCAUGGUGGCAUACGCAGGAUCCCAGGUACCCAAGGAAGGGAUGGCCGGGCUGA
rnacentral:lncRNA from 1 species